rnacentral:rRNA from 1 species
GUUGUCCGGAUUCAUUGGGCGUAAAGCGCUUUAAGGCGGUUCGCUAAGUCGCGUGUGAAACCUCCAGGCUCAACCUGGAGACGCCACGCGAUACUGGCGUGACUAGAGUUCGGUAGGGGAUCACGGAAUUCCUGGUGUAGCGGUGAAAUGCGUAGAUAUCUGCAGGAACACCCGUGGCGAAAGCGGCGCGCUGGACCACUACUGACGCUGAGGAACGAAAGCUAGGGGAGCAAACAGG